GGCUGGUACAAUGGUAGUGGGUUAUCAGAACUUAUUAACAUUUGUGUCACCAAAAUUUGUAUUUUUAGGUACACCCACUGCUACAUUUGACUGACUUUAU
ensembl:Y_RNA Y_RNA Y RNA